rnacentral:tRNA from 1 species
GGGGCUGUGGCUCAGUUGGGAGAGCGCUUCCUUCGCACGGAAGAGGUCGUGAGUUCGAAUCUCAUCAGCUCCACCA